rnacentral:rRNA from 1 species
UACAGAGGUCCCAAGCGUUGUUCGGAUUCAUUGGGCGUAAAGGGUGCGUAGGCGGCGCGGUAAGUCGGGUGUGAAAUCUCGGGGCUUAACUCCGAAACUGCAUUCGAUACUGCCGUGCUUGAGGACUGGAGAGGAGACUGGAAUUUACGGUGUAGCGGUGAAAUGCGUAGAGAUCAUGAGGAAGACCAGUGGCGAAGGCGGGUCUCUGGACAGUUCCUGACACUGAGACACGAAGGCCAGGGGAGCAAACGGG